rnacentral:rRNA from 1 species
UACGGAAGGCAGCAGUGGGGAAUAUUGCACAAUGGGCGCAAGCCUGAUGCAGCCAUGCCGCGUGUAUGAAGAAGGCCUUCGGGUUGUAAAGUACUUUCAGCGGGGAGGAAGGCGGUGGAGUUAAUAGCUUCACCGAUUGACGUUACCCGCAGAAGAAGCACCGGCUAACUCCGUGCCAGCAGCCGCGGUAAUACGGAGGGUGCAAGCGUUAAUCGGAAUUACUGGGCGUAAAGCGCACGCAGGCGGUCUGUCAAGUCGGAUGUGAAAUCCCCGGGCUUAACCUGGGAACUGCAUUCGAAACUGGCAGGCUAGAGUCUUGUAGAGGGGGUAGAAUUCCAGGUGUAGCGGUGAAAUGCGUAGAGAUCUGGAGGAAUACCGGUGGCGAAGGCGGCCCCUGGGACAAAGACUGACGCUCAGGGUGCGAAAGCGUGGGGAGCGAAACAGGAUUAGGAUACC